rnacentral:ribozyme from 1 species
AAGGAACAAGAAAGGUCCUAAAGAAUAAUAUGUUUGUCUUUCUUUGCUCGUCUUCAUCUUUGUCUUUAUAUAUAUAUCUUUAUUUUCCUUCUUCUUUU